CGACUAACGCUUCUCCGCUGCUGGCAUGUCAUGUUUCCUAAAGGUUGUGAACUUGUAAGUGCCUCUUCUCCAGCACAGUACAUUCAGAGCAGAAAAGGGAAUAGAAAGGGUGCACAUGUCUGCAUGUGAAAAAGGUGUUUUCACAUACCAAUUUUUCAUCUGAUACAACAGGAAUUUAAAGGGAUGGGACUCUAAUUAGCAGUAGCUCACGCGGUCCUGCCCUUUGCCAGGAGCUGCAAAAGGCAGAUGGAAUAUGCUGCAGACAGGCAGAGUCACGGUCUGUUCCACCUCCAGCACACCAGCGGGACCUUUCUGUUCGCAUCUCACCAGCCGUAGUGGAAGGGAAGAUGGAUUAGCAUUUUCCCAGGAAAGCCAGAACGAAUCACUGUUUCCUUUUCCUGCCACCUGACCCCUCUCCAAUUAGGGGAAAGAAAAAGCAGACAGAUUUCUCUAACAACUCUUCCUCACAAGGAUAUUGCUGGUCAGUCUCAAAAAGUCCACAAAGAAGACAAAAGAAUCAUAUAUUUGGUCAUCUUCUGUCAGGCAGAAGACCUUACCAGCGUUUCCUGGCCCAAGUAUUUGUACAACGUAAUCUCUUGCUCUUGACACCUUUGAAGACUUCAGUGUGCUCAUAAAUCCUAUAGAAAUAUAAACUGGUGCCUGACAGAAAACCAUAAAAAAAAAUUGACCUUUGGCUACAGAAACCUCCCUUGUUUUGGAAAUAUACUCUUACAGACUAGUGGUUUUAAGGGUUA